UACAGAGGUGGCAAGCGUUGUUCGGAAUUACUGGGCGUAAAGGGCGCGUAGGCGGCCUUCUAAGUCAGACGUGAAAUCCCCCGGCUUAACCUGGGAACUGCGUCUGAUACUGGAUGGCUUGAAUCCGGGAGAGGGAUGCAGAAUUCCAGGUGUAGCGGUGAAAUGCGUAGAUAUCUGGAGGAAUACCGGUGGCGAAGGCGGCAUCCUGGACCGGCAUUGACGCUGAGGAGCGAAAGCCAGGGGAGCAAACGGG
rnacentral:rRNA from 1 species